CCCAGCACCACCAAACUGCCACUGCUGGACUCUUGAGCAAGGCCCAUAACCUUCAACUGCUCAGAGAUUAUUGUUAACUGCUCUGGAUAAGGGCGUCUGCCAAAUGCUGUAAAUGUAUAUAAAAAAAUAAAAAAUGUAAAAGGUGCUAUAACCUAGAUAGUAAAUGGAUGGCGAGGUCUUUAGAGAUUUGGAAAAAGAAUGGUGGCAUGGAUGGGGCCAUGACACUGAAGUAGCAAGAACUUACAAGCGUUUUCAGAGCUCAGAUAAGGAUGUGGCCUUAACGCUGCAGGCCAAAGCUGGUGUCUGUGUGUAGUUCUGAAGCAAAGCACAAAGAUAUAGUUGUGCAGAGCCUUUAAAGCCUGGAUUUCCGUGAUAAAAGUUUUCAAUUUGAGAUUUCAGUGGGGGAUUUAAUGAUAAAUGAUAUCUGUAUUCUCUUCUGGUUUCCUUGCACCUCACAAAAACAUGCCAGUAAGUGGGGUGGCUAGUCUAAAAAUAAACCGCCCCUAAGUGAGAUUGAGAGUGUGUGCACGCUGCCAUGUGAUGGACUGGUGUCCCAGCCAGGAUGUAAUCCUGCCCAGGGCUGUAACCAGGAUCAGACUUUUAGUGGUGGUCGAGAUUGCAGAAAUAUGUACCAUUUCAUAACAUUUACAACAAGAAUUUAAAGUGUGCUGUAACCGUCCUCCUCGGCUGCUCUGAGGUCAGUUGAGAACCAGUCAUCACUACUGAUUGAAUGGUCAUGGAAUGCAAGUUUUUAUGCGGAGUAGGCUACAUUCUGCCAAUGCGUUAACACAGCAUCGCUGUUUCCAUAUUAAAUUUGGCAACUAGAGGCUAAAAAAAAAAAAAAAAAAAAACACUUUUGAAACUACUGAGGUCUGUUCUCACAGCUAGUCAUGUUCCUGCCUUGCGUGGGACAAGAGUUAAUCAAAAACUGACCCAUGUGGAACUUAUAACUUAUAGCAAGACUAUGUGGUGAUGAAGCAUCCUCUCCAGGUGAUGUGUUCAGAUUGUUCACAUUGAUACCUACACACACUCUACACUUUCUUAAGAACAAUAAUACUGGUAUAAACAGCCUCAAUUCUUUGUGGCAUGGAUUCCAGAUGAUGUCGGAAACAUUCGGUUGAGAUUCUGGUCCAUGUUGACAUGAUUGCAUCGUGCAGUUUUUUUCAGGUGCUGCGAAUCUCACGUUCUACCACAUCCCGAAGGUGUUCUAUUGGAUUCAGAUCCGGUGACUGGGAAGGCCACUGAAGAACACUGAACUCGUUGUCAGAAAUCAAGAUCCAGACCUUCAACUGUCCAGUUUUGGUGAACCUGUGC
ensembl:lncRNA